rnacentral:lncRNA from 1 species
ACUCACCCUCCGAUGCAGCAGCCGCACCGACAGCAUUGGCGACGAGGGGCUUGCCCUCGUCGCGGCGCGCUGUCCCAAUCUUGCCAGCCUCAAGCUCCGCGCCUGCGGCGCCCUCACCGAUGCCGGCAUGGCCGCUGUCGCCCGUUACUGCUCGGGCCUGCGCAAGCUAUCCGUCGGCUCCUGCGCCUUUGGCGCCAAGGGUGUUGACGCCGUCCUCCGCGGGUGCCCCCUCCUGGAAGAGCUCUCCAUCAAGCGCCUCCGCGGCCUCCACGACCCGUCCGCCACCGCCGAACUCGUUGCCGGCGCCGCCUCCCUCCGCUCCGUCUGCCUCAAGGGUCUCUACAAUGCGCAGUGCUUCGCACCGCUCAUCGCCGGGUGCCCCAACCUCAAGACGCUCAAGCUCAUCCGCUGCUCCGGCGACUGGGAUCCCCUCCUGAAGAACAUGGCCGCUAGGGUCCCCGGGGUUGUCGAAAUACACCUCGAGAGGCUGCAGGUGACCGACAGCGGCCUCGCCGCCCUGUCCGUCUGCGUCGA